rnacentral:rRNA from 1 species
GACGAACGCUGGCGGCGUGCUUAACACAUGCAAGUCGAACGGAAAGGCCCUGCUUGCAGGGUACUCGAGUGGCGAACGGGUGAGUAACACGUGGGUGAUCUGCCCUGCACUUCGGGAUAAGCCUGGGAAACUGGGUCUAAUACCGGAUAGGAGCCAUUCUUAGUGUGAUGGUUGGAAAGUUUUUUCGGUGUAGGAUGAGCUCGCGGCCUAUCAGCUUGUUGGUGGGGUAAUGGCCUACCAAGGCGGCGACGGGUAGCCGGCCUGAGAGGGUGGACGGCCACAUUGGGACUGAGAUACGGCCCAGACGCCUACGGGAGGCAGCAGUGGGGAAUAUUGCACAAUGGGCGCAAGCCGGAUGCAGCGACGCCGCGUGGGGGAUGACGGCCUUCGGGUUGUAAACUCCUUUCGCUAGGGACGAAGCUUUUUGUGACGGUACCUAGAUAAGAAGCACCGGCUAACUACGUG